rnacentral:rRNA from 1 species
GGUUAAGCGACUAAGCGUACACGGUGGAUGCCCUGGCAGUCAGAGGCGAUGAAGGACGUGCUAAUCUGCGAAAAGCGUCGGUAAGGUGAUAUGAACCGUUAUAACCGGCGAUGUCCGAAUGGGGAAACCCAGUGCAAUUCGUUGCACUAUCGUUAACUGAAUACAUAGGUUAACGAGGCGAACCGGGGGAACUGAAACAUCUAAGUACCCCGAGGAAAAGAAAUCAACCGAGAUUCCCCCCAGUAGCGGCGAGCGAACGGGGAGCAGCCCAGAGUCUGAAUCAGCUUGUGUGUUAGUGGAACGGUCUGGAAAGUCCGACGGUACAGGGUGAUAGUCCCGUACACCAAAAUGCACAGGUUGUGAACUCGAAGAGUAGGGCGGGACACGUGGUAUCCUGUCUGAAUAUGGGGGACCAUCCUCCAAGGCUAAAUACUCCUGACUGACCGAUAGUGAACCAGUACCGUGAGGGAAAGGCGAAAAGAACCCCGGCGAGGGGAGUGAAAAAGAACCUGAAACCGUGUACGUACAAGCAGUGGGAGCACCUUCGGGUGUGACUGCGUACCUUUGUAUAAUGGGUCAGCGACUUAUAUUCUGUAGCAAGGUUAACCGUAUAGGGGAGCCGCAGGGAAACCGAGUCUUAACUGGGCGUUAAGUUGCAGGGUAUAGACCCGAAACCCGGUGAUCUAGCCAUGGGCAGGUUGAAGGUUGGGUAACACUAACUGGAGGACCGAACCGACUAAUGUUGAAAAAUUAGCGGAUGACUUGUGGCUGGGGGUGAAAGGCCAAUCAAACCGGGAGAUAGCUGGUUCUCCCCGAAAGCUAUUUAGGUAGCGCCUCGUGAACUCAUCUUCGGGGGUAGAGCACUGUUUCGGCUAGGGGGUCAUCCCGACUUACCAACCCGAUGCAAACUACGAAUACCGAAGAAUGUUAUCACGGGAGACACACGGCGGGUGCUAACGUCCGUCGUGAAGAGGGAAACAACCCAGACCGCCAGCUAAGGUCCCAAAGUCAUGGUUAAGUGGGAAACGAUGUGGGAAGGCACAGACAGCCAGGAUGUUGGCUUAGAAGCAGCCAUCAUUUAAAAGAAAGCGUAAUAGCUCACUGGUCGAGUCGGCCUGCGCGGAAGAUGUAACGGGGCUAAACCAUGCACCGAAGCUGCGGCAGCGACACUAUGUGUUGUUGGGUAGGGGAGCGUUCUGUAAGCCUGCGAAGGUGUGCUGUGAGGCAUGCUGGAGGUAUCAGAAGUGCGAAUGCUGACAUAAGUAACGAUAAAGCGGGUGAAAAGCCCGCUCGCCGGAAGACCAAGGGUUCCUGUCCAACGUUAAUCGGGGCAGGGUGAGUCGACCCCUAAGGCGAGGCCGAAAGGCGUAGUCGAUGGGAAACAGGUUAAUAUUCCUGUACUUGGUGUUACUGCGAAGGGGGGGACGGAGAAGGCUAUGUUAGCCGGGCGACGGUUGUCCCGGUUUAAGCAUGUAGGCUGAUUGUCCGAGGCAAAUCCGGAUAAUCAAGGCUGAGGUGUGAUGACGAGGCACUACGGUGCUGAAGUAACAAAUGCCCUGCUUCCAGGAAAAGCCUCUAAGCAUCAGGUAACAUUAAAUCGUACCCCAAACCGACACAGGUGGUCAGGUAGAGAAUACCAAGGCGCUUGAGAGAACUCGGGUGAAGGAACUAGGCAAAAUGGUGCCGUAACUUCGGGAGAAGGCACGCUGGUGUGUAGGUGAAGUCCCUGCGGAUGGAGCUGAGACCAGUCGAAGAUACCAGCUGGCUGCAACUGUUUAUUAAAAACACAGCACUGUGCAAACACGAAAGUGGACGUAUACGGUGUGACGCCUGCCCGGUGCCGGAAGGUUAAUUGAUGGGGUUAUCCGUAAGGAGAAGCUCUUGAUCGAAGCCCCGGUAAACGGCGGCCGUAACUAUAACGGUCCUAAGGUAGCGAAAUUCCUUGUCGGGUAAGUUCCGACCUGCACGAAUGGCGUAAUGAUGGCCAGGCUGUCUCCACCCGAGACUCAGUGAAAUUGAACUCGCUGUGAAGAUGCAGUGUACCCGCGGCAAGACGGAAAGACCCCGUGAACCUUUACUAUAGCUUGACACUGAACAUUGAGCCUUGAUGUGUAGGAUAGGUGGGAGGCUUUGAAGCGUGGACGCCAGUCUGCGUGGAGCCAACCUUGAAAUACCACCCUUUAAUGUUUGAUGUUCUAACGUUGGCCCCUGACCGGGGUUGCGGACAGUGUCUGGUGGGUAGUUUGACUGGGGCGGUCUCCUCCCAAAGCGUAACGGAGGAGCACGAAGGUUAGCUAAUCCUGGUCGGACAUCAGGAGGUUAGUGCAAUGGCAUAAGCUAGCUUGACUGCGAGCGUGACGGCGCGAGCAGGUGCGAAAAGCAGGUCAUAGUGAUCCGGUGGUUCUGAAUGGAAGGGCCAUCGCUCAACGGAUAAAAAGGUACUCCGGGGAUAACAGGCUGAUACCGCCCAAGAGUUCAUAUCGACGGCGGUGUUUGGCACCUCGAUGUCGGCUCAUCACAUCCUGGGGCUGAAGUAGGUCCCAAGGGUAUGGCUGUUCGCCAUUUAAAGUGGUACGCGAGCUGGGUUUAGAACGUCGUGAGACAGUUCGGUCCCUAUCUGCCGUGGGCGCUGGAGAAUUGAGGGGGGCUGCUCCUAGUACGAGAGGACCGGAGUGGACGCAUCACUGGUGUUCGGGUUGUCAUGCCAAUGGCACUGCCCGGUAGCUAAAUGCGGAAGAGAUAAGUGCUGAAAGCAUCUAAGCACGAAACUUGCCCCGAGAUGAGUUCUCCCUGAGACUUUAAGUCUCCUGAAGGAACGUUGAAGACGACGACGUUGAUAGGCCGGGUGUGUAAGCGCAGCGAUGCGUUGAGCUAACCGGUACUAAUGAACCGUGAGGCUUAACCUU